AUGAUGAUUAAUAUGUUGUGCAAGAGGGGGAGGGUUCAAGAGGCUCAAAUGAUUUUGUGUAGGAUUUAUCAAUGUGAUUGGGUUCCGGAUGUGUUCACGUAUACUUCACUUAUUCUUGGU
rnacentral:miRNA from 1 species